GGGGGCGCACUGGUUUCGACGUGGAUCUGGAAGCUGAAGUUGCAGGUCGAGGCGCCGCUGGCCUCGUAAAAAGCGGCAAAACAGUAAUUGCCAACAACGAUUACGAAUACGCCUACGCUGCCUAAACGGCGGGGCAAAUGACCGCACAAGACGGUCACGUCGCCAGAGCUGAUGCCUGAUACGUUCUGGCGGCGACAUCCAUCAGGCUGGUGGUCGGCCGGUAUCUACCGGGGUUUGACCGCGAGAUUGCACCGGAAGACUGGCUGUGCGACACCUGUUCAGGGGUUUCCGCACGGCGAGAUACAAACCUGAACUAAACCUGUAGAUACUUUAUGUGGAAUAUUCGCGGACGGGGGUUCGACUCUCCCCGCCUCCACCA
rnacentral:tmRNA from 1 species